ensembl:miRNA
AGGCAGCAAGAAAAAUGAGGGACUUUCAGGGGCAGCUGUGUUUUAUUAACUCAGUCAUAAUGCCCCUAAAAAUCCUUAUUGUUCUUGCAAUGUUCA